GGAACCGGCUGGACGGUCGCUGUAUCGCAUCGCGGUAUGGAGGAAAGUCCGGGCUCCACAGGACAGGGCGCCAGGUAACGCCUGGGCAGUGCAAGCUGACGGAAAGCGCCACAGAAAACAAACCGCCUACGUUCCCGCUUGCGGGAGCCGGCAAGGGUGAAAAGGUGCGGUAAGAGCGCACCGCGCGGCUGGCAACAGACGCGGCACGGCAAGCCCCGCCCGGAGCAAGACCAAAUAGAGGAGCAUUCACGUGUGGUCCGCACGGCUCCAGGGUAGGUCGCUACAGGCGCUUGGCGACAAGCGUCGCAGAUGAAUGGCCGUCCUCGACAGAACCCGGCUUACAGGCCGGUUCCCACU
rnacentral:RNase_P_RNA from 1 species